UCUAAAGAGCUGUACAUAAAUUUUAAGGUCCUGACAACAUCUUCAAUCAUGUUCCUCAGCUGAGUAAGCGACACAUUUUCUUCAGGAAGGCCAAUCACGAGCAACUUGUCACAUUCUUUCCAGUAAACAACUUGAACUAGUUUUUCACACAAGAAAAGGGAGGAACUGAGAAUCUGGGCACCAGUAACACUUUCCAUUAUGUCAGACAGGGUGAGAAAUAUUCCCCUCACGUUUUUCAGUUUUUGGGAUGCUUCUGACAUGGGGUACUGAUAAAGAAUUUCUUGCUCAUCCUUAGCUGUUUCAGAGUCCAGUUUCAGUGAGAGGAACAUAACAAUAUGAGGAACGCUCUGUACAGCCUGUUGAAGGCCCGUGCUGUCUUCCCCCCACAAAAGCCGAACCAGGUUGUUCAUACUUGACUGUUCC
rnacentral:lncRNA from 1 species